GGUAUUCUCGGAGAGGUUCCAGUGGUUAGCCCUGUAAUUCUUGUUUACAAUAUUUGCCCGUUGGCUUGAUAAACCGAACGGUCGAUUCAUUCUCUUGCGGGUUGGCAGAGUUCGCGUCCACUCAUCGUCAAAUACAGCUGGCGCAAGCGUCGACUGAACCAUGUCCACAGGGUUCGGUGGGAGUAGUACGGCACAAAUGAUAAGCUUGAUCUACUUAGUUUGCACUUUAUGUAUCUACAUCCCAUAUACCAUAGUAGAGCCAGAGCACUGAGCUUGUUGCAGGCAGCAUGGACAGUUAUAGUAUGCCUUUGAUGAUCUGCGCGCAGCUAAUUGUUCCUUGUUUGGGCAAUCUACUGACUUGGAUAGAGAAUGUCAAGA
rnacentral:sRNA from 1 species